GACGAACGCUGGCGGCGUGCUUAACACAUGCAAGUCGAACGGAAAGGCCCUGCUUUUGUGGGGUGCUCGAGUGGCGAACGGGUGAGUAACACGUGAGUAACCUGCCCUUGACUUUGGGAUAACUUCAGGAAACUGGGGCUCAUACCGGAUAGGAGCUCCUGCUGCAUGGUGGGGGUUGGAAAGUUUCGGCGGGUGGGGAUGGACUCGCGGCUUAUCAGCUUGUUGGUGGGGUAGUGGCUUACCAAGGCUUUGACGGGUAGCCGGCCUGGGAGGGUGACCGGCCACAUUGGGACUAAGAUACGGCCCAGACUCCUACGGGAGGCAGAAGUGGGAAAUAUGGCGCAAUGGGCGGAAGCCUGAUGCAGCAACACCGCGUGCGGGAUGACGGCCUUCGGGUUGUAAACCGCUUUCGCCUGUGACGAAGCGUGAGUGACGGUAAUGGGUAAAGAAGCACCGGCUAACUACGUG
rnacentral:rRNA from 1 species